CGCAAGCCUGACGGAGCAAUACCGCGUGAGGGAGGAAGGCCUUUGGGUUGUAAACCUCUUUUCUUAAGGAAGAAGAUCUGACGGUACUUAAGGAAUCAGCAUCGGCUAACUCCGUGCCAGCAGCCGCGGUAAUACGGAGGAUGCAAGCGUUAUCCGGAAUUAUUGGGCGUAAAGCGUCCGCAGGCGGCAUUAUAAGUCUGCUGUCAAAGACCGCAGCUCAACUGCGGAAAGGCAGUGGAAACUGUAAAGCUAGAGUACGGUAGGGGUAGAGGGAAUUCCCAGUGUAGCGGUGAAAUGCGUAGAUAUUGGGAAGAACACCAGUGGCGAAGGCGCUCUACUGGGUCGCAACUGACGCUGAGGGACGAAAGCUAGGGGAGCG
rnacentral:rRNA from 1 species